rnacentral:rRNA from 1 species
CCUACGGGGGGCAGCAGUGGGGAAUAUUGCACAAUGGGCGCAAGCCUGAUGCAGCCAUGCCGCGUGUGUGAAGAAGGCCUUCGGGUUGUAAAGCACUUUCAGCGGGGAGGUAGGCGGUGAGGUUAAUAACCUCAUCGAUUGACGUUACCCGCAGAAGAAGCACCGGCUAACUCCGUGCCAGCAGCCGCGGUAAUACGGAGGGUGCAAGCGUUAAUCGGAAUUACUGGGCGUAAAGCGCACGCAGGCGGUCUGUCAAGUCGGAUGUGAAAUCCCCGGGCUCAACCUGGGAACUGCAUUCGAAACUGGCAGGCUAGAGUCUUGUAGAGGGGGGUAGAAUUCCAGGUGUAGCGGUGAAAUGCGUAGAGAUCUGGAGGAAUACCGGUGGCGAAGGCGGCCCCCUGGACAAAGACUGACGCUCAGGUGCGAAAGCGUGGGGAGCAAACAGGAUUAGAUACCCGGGUAGUC